rnacentral:lncRNA from 1 species
UUACAGUUCUCUGAAAUUGCCUAAUGUUAAUGUCUACCUUCUUUGUGCCCUAGACUGUGAGAUUUCUCAUUGGCAGAAAUUUCUCUCUCUCUCUCUCUCUCUCUCUCUCUCUCUCUCAUCCCCUGCUGUGUUCAGUAGCAGAACAGUGAGUGUUUGUUGAUUGACUAAUGGAGUCCCCAAAGGCAGGGACCGGAUCAGAUGAAUUCCCAGGCAGGUGCUGGGCACAAAGCAGGCAGUGAAUAAGAUGUGGUGAUGGAGUACAUGAACAUGUUCAUCGAUUUUUGGAAAUUCUUCCCAUUUGUUCAAAGCUGUUUGGUUUUCUAGCUUUUUCUGCCCUUCCAGGAUGAGGCUGAGAUUAGCUGCAGGAGGCACGAGUCAGUUGGGUCUGGGUUCUCUCUUCCACUUUUCGGGGGGUGGGGGCACCAAAGCCCCAGAGGAAGUGACAGGCCCUGUGUUCCCCUGCAGAUGCCGACUGAUCGCGCCCCCGCCCCUCCAGCAAACGCCCCAGCGCUGAGAGCCAGAUGCUCUGGGGAACUCCAUCUGCAACGGGCUGGAGCGUGGUGUUAGGGCUCAUAUUUUAUGCAUGGGGCUGACUAAAUGGGAACAUUUGCAGAUGAAAAUUGCUGUUAAUGCAUCUACACAUCUUUGGAAUAUAUUAAAUGUGCGUGUGAGGGGAAGAGUGACAUUAGCCUUAUUUAAUAGCUUCAAUAUAACCAUCCCCGCACACCACGGCGUUAACAGGCACGGCCCCCCCCCGAGUCUCCCAGGCCACCACUCAGGAAGAGUGCUGGGUGCAUCACGCGCCACUUGAGAAUUAGGGGUGAGUCCAGCGUCGGCCCAGCAUGCAGCAGCGUGCAUGUUCCCCGCCGAUUUCUAACCCAAACACAGUGACCCUGUGCCACUCGAUGCAGAAUUUCAUUAAAAGCAAAAAUGAUUGAUUUAUCUAUUGUUUGCGGAGAAGAAAAAAUAAACAAAGGGCCUUUCUCAUCAGAUAAGCCAAAUAAGAACGUGUGCCCCACAGGUGGCCAGGAUGAAAGUCUCCAUGGACCCUUCAACCAGAGGCUCUGUGACUUGUCCCGUCUCCAGGGCGGUGUGUAAACCCUGCCGCCAGUCCAAGUUCACGAGGUGUGCUCCCUUCUCCAGUGCAAGGGCCCGGUUUAUCCCCACUAUGUCUCCUGGACGUGGUUGGGAAAUUGAACAACCUGGACCUCCGUUCCCAUUUCCUUGUUGUUUUUAGCGGGAGAUAAGAGGAGAAGUAAUAGCUGUCGUGUUGGGGCGCUUGCCUUGGUCCUGGGCCCCAUCAGCUGCUGUGAGGAGACAGUUUCUUUUCCACAGUUGAGGAAAUGGAGCACAGAGAGGUUGAGUGACUCAACCAAGGUCACCCAGCUGGAGGUGGGGCAGGGUCUGGCUCCAGGCCGUGUGCUCACUCACCCUGCUUGCAAGGGCUUUAGGAAUAGCCCCUGUGUCCUGGAAGACAGAUCGCUCACCGAAUGGGCCUCUUUUCUUGGUAUUAUAUGAUGAGGUGGGCUCACUUUCCCCCAGACUUAGCUUGCCAGAAUAUUCAUGGUUUUUUCUCUGUACUCACCUGUCGUCUCUCCAACGUGGUGCCAUCACCCAUGAAGUGGGAUGCUUUGGUGCGUGUCUGGCCUGGGGAGAGGGCUGCUUGCUUUGUCAGAAGACUCAAAGCAUGAUGGGCAUCCAAAUACCAAAGACCUAUGUUGACCUGUGUUUUUCACUCCGCUUGAUGGCAGUUGAGGGCUAUAUUCACUGCCUCGGUUGCAUGGAGUGAACAAGACCUAGUGAAGGUGGCGGGUGCGCUGAGACCAUCUGGUUGAUCUCUCCUGGGCGGGACCAGGUGCUCCCCUCACCACCCCCACCCUUGUCUGUGUACCACCACUCUGCACAGACACGUUGGCUGGUGCAGUCCUGGAGACCCACGGAGCUCACGGUCGUCAGGGGUCCUCAAGGAUUCAGAGAACCCCCAAAUGUCAGGGCUGCUCCCUUCUUGUCCUGCCUUUCUGCUCACACCCUUGGACAGGUAAGAAAACUGAGGUCCACAGAGGGCAGGGUGCAUUGCUGUGGCUUUUGUUCUGAGCACUGUCUCCCCAACUUUGGGGUUGAGACUCUGGGGUCCAGACCCACCUCUGAUGAACGAGCGGCUUCCUUCUUUGUAAAAAUUGAGGCAACCCAGACCAAGAAGGGCUGCAAAAUCACCAAGCCAGGACCUCAAUACCCAAGGGGCUGGGGUUUCGGCCACCCUGUGGCAGAGCUUUUAGAAGCCAGGGCCCUUGGCUCGGCAGUGCUGGCUCAUAGUAGGUGCUUAGUUCAUGCCUGUCUCCUUGGAUGAAAUCUGACCAUAGACACCAGUGCAAAGCAGGUGUUCAACACAGGAGGGUGUACUGAACCCGAUCUCUCUUUCACCAGGAGGAAGCACACAGGAGGCACUCAGAGAACGUUUGUGGAAUGAAUAAAUAAAAGCAUAUUUUGAGGGAAUAAAGAAGCAGAAAAACAAAGAAGAAUCUGGGGAAGAUGGGCAUAAAUCUCCACCAAGUGCUGCCAAGGCUUCCCAGGCGAGGCUACUGAAAAGACCCUGUGGAGCGGCUGCUCUGCCUGGGAUAAACACAUUUCAAGAGUCUCAGUCCCCGCUUUGCCACCAUCUCCUCCUCUGAUCUCCUUUCCUGCUUCAAAAGACUCCAGAAUCUUCUCGGUUCUCAGAGAAGGCUGAAUCCACCUAUGACCUAGUGGGUGCACCCUGUGCCGAAACUGUUUACCUUGUGGUCCCCGGAGCCGUGGGUCACGACCUGGGCCUCACGUAGGCCCGCUCCUCAGCAGACCCCAAUCUGCGGCUUCUCCCACCUCACUGGGGAAGAAGGAGAGCCCUGGGGAUGUGGAGAAGCCCCCCCACCCCCGCCACAUCCCCCACAUCUUACAGAAUCUCGAUUGAAUCCCCGGGGGCACAUCCCUCAGCAGGACAGCAACAGUCUUUGCCGCGGCAUGGGGAGGGCUGUGCUGGGGAUGAGCGCCCAGCGGCCGUGGACUAAGUGAAGGAAAUGACCGUGCUCUUCUCCCAGCUGGAUGGCGAGGCCGGGCAGGAACCGCGGAAUUCCUGCUCUUCGUUUUCAAACACUUUGCUGUCAAGC